rnacentral:rRNA from 1 species
AGCCUUGUACGCACCGCCCGUCAAGCCACGAAAGCCGGUAGUACUUGAAGUCGCUUGCCUAACCCUCAAAGGAAGGUGGCGCCGACGGUAAGACCGGUGAUUGGGACU